GUUCGAGGGGCAGCANGGNCAGNCAAUCCUGGAUGGCNACCGGCAAACGGCGCGCNGUAACACGCUACGCNACUUUCCCNAAACUGNGUGAAUAUNCCCUCCGAAAGGAGGAUUAAUACACCGUAACAUGAUUGACAUGGCAUCAUUUGAUUAUUAUANCUCCGGCGGUUUUGGAUGGGCGUGCGCCUGAUUAGGUAGUUGGUAAGGUANCGGCCUNCCAAGCCAACGAUCANUAACUGGUGUNAGAGCACNACCANUCACACGGGCNCUGANACNCGGGCCCGACUCCUACGGGAGGCACNCCUAAGGAAUAUUGGNCNAUGGACUCAAGUCUGAACCANCCAUGCCGCGNGAAGGAUGAANGCCCUCUGGGUUGUAAACUUCUUUUACAGGNGACGAAAAAAGGGAAUUCUUUCUCACUUGACGGUNCCCUGGGAAUANGCACCGGCUAACUCCGUGCCACCNGNCNCUAUAAUACGGAGGGUGCAAGCGUUAUCCGGAUUUACUGGGUUUAAAGNGUGCGUAGGUGGGUCUGUAACUCAGUGGUGAAAUCUCCGGGCUUAACCCNGAAAUUGCCAUUGAUACUAUAGGUCUUGAAUCAUCUGGAGGUAAGCGGAAUAUNUCAUGUAACUGGUGANAUGCUUAGAUAUGACAUAGANCACCAAUUGCGAAGGCAGCUUACUACGGAUGCAUUGACACUGAGGCACAAAAGCGUGGGGAUCAAACANGAUUAGAUACCCUGGUAGUCCACGNCCUAAACUAUGGAUACUCNACAUCAGCGAUACACUGUUGGUGUCUGAUCUAAAGCAU
rnacentral:rRNA from 1 species